rnacentral:rRNA from 1 species
CGCGUAGGUCGGGAUGGCAAAGUCGGUCGUGAAAUCCUUCGGCUCAACCGAAGAACGUCGGCCGAUACUGCCGUUCUUGAGGGAUGCAGAGGAGACUGGAAUUCCCGGUGUAGCGGUGAAAUGUGUAGAGAUCGGGAGGAACACCGGUGGCGAAGGCGGGUCUCUGGGCAUCUCCUGACGCUGAGGCGCGAAAGCGUGGGGAGCAAACGGGAUUAGAUACCCCGGUAGUCCACGCCAUAAACGAUGACGACUAGGUGUGGGGUGGUUCAGUCCACUCCGUGCCGCAGCUAACGCAUUAAGUCGUCCGGCCUGGGGAUACGGCCGCAAGGUUGAA